AGCUUUACGUAUGCAAAUAUCUUGCAAGUGUUACUGAUGCACGGACAACAAAAUAUAAUAAUCUUGACAACACAAAUAAAUGAAUUUUAUCAUUUCACAAUUAUACAAUAGCACACAAUUCAGCUACAAGACAGCUGUCAUCUUUUUCAGGAAUGUAGCUGAUUUUAGACAUUCAGACAUUGUUCAGAAGUCGCAUUCGGAAAUGUGAACAAAGCCCCUUUCCCCGGAACAAACAAAAAAACACACACAAAAAAUAAAUAAAUAAAUAGCAAAGGAAAAGAAAAGUUGAGAGUUAUUGCCAUUAGUAAUUGAGUCCCUUUACAGCACAGAUGAUGGGUUUGUGCUGCUGGAUAAAGUGUCAAUCUUAAAGCAAGGCUGUGCUUAUUGUCCAGCUGAGGGACCACCAAUCAUCUCCCAGCCGAUGCAUUGUUAUAGUCUGAGUAUUGACAUGCUUCAUAAAUCAGAGCUAUUGGAUUGCCAGCUGCUAUUUUUACAGUGACAUGACCUGCCUGCCAGAGGCUUCACAUCCUGGUGUGCGUGUAUUGACCUGAUGCUCUGAGACAGGCAACAGUCAGGAGAGCCCACCAUGAUUUCUCCUGAACACACACAUACGCGCAUUCACACACAUAUGGGGGUCCAUUAUGUACACUCACACAAAUUCCAAUAUUGAGGAUAGGGCUGGAUAGGAUAAUUAUUAUCGUUAUAAAACGAAAAUUAGCUGGGCUAAAAGUUGUUUUCAUUUUCGGUGUAAGACUGUUAAUAUGUCACUUUAUUACGUUUUAAUAUUUUCGCACUAUUCACAACAUGGGGUCAAUUUAUCCAAAUAACGCCUGGUUGUAAAUCUGCUGCGACGUUUUCGGAGAUAUGAGGAGCCGCCAAUGAGAGCUGCUAGCCGCGACCAGCCAAUCAUCUCAGGUGCUAGCAGCCCGACUCCUGAGAUGAUUGGGCGGUCAAUGUCCGUCGUCAUCCUGGGGAGAACACGAUCCAUGAACUGAUUGUCGCAGCUCUUUUCUAUAUGAUAUAAUUCCUUUUGGAAGAUAAAUGUUGCUCUCACAGUAACUGCCACAUUAGUUAGUCUGAAUGUAAAGUGAAACGUCAUGUUCUUACUGGACAGAACAACAGCGCUGCCUCUGGGGCUCUAUAUGUAUACAUAUCACCACAUUUACAUACAUAUAAUUCAUCGGAUCAUGUUCUUCCCGGGAUGAUGACGCAGGAGUCGGACUGCUAGCAGCUGAGAUGACUGAUUGGUCCUGGCCAGAGGCUCCUCACAUCUCUGAAAACGUUGGAGCAAAUAUCAGAACAGGAGUUAUUUGGAUAAACUGACCACACAUUGUUAAUCUACAUGGUUACUUUCUCGCCUGAAAAAAUAUUAAAACUUAAUAAAAUGACAUAUUACAUAACAGUGCUACAACGAAAAUUACAAGAGCUUUUCGCCUGCUUUAAAAUCUCCGCUAUUGCUGCCGGUCGGUGUGAAAUGCAUUCUGGGAUACUUGGCUGCAUACUUCAGUGUAAACAGUCUGCUAGUAAAGGCAUACUUAUUCGUCGAUUUAGUAGGCAGUAUGCAGUACAUGCUCUUUGAAUAUGUAGUAGGCAGAACGUUAGUAUGUGAUUUCGAACACACCCAGAGUCACGUGCUGCCAAGAUGACGACGGCCGGAACGGCUCUCUUUGAGCUUCAAAACCGCUCCUCAGAAACCAAAGGGUGACGUCACGCCAUUAUGCUUCCCAUUAUGUGGGACAUCUUCAUUUCCAUCUGGAGAGAUGUGCGACUGGAUUGAGCUGACUCCUGUGCACUGAUGGAGAGAGACAAUAGACUGUCAGGUGUCCGGUCCCAUUCACGCCACCCAGCCAUCCAUUUUCAUUAGGCGUGUCAAGAAGCGGACAGCAUAUUUUCUAUUGGACUUCCACACAUAAAUUUGUACCAAAUAAGAGGGCUGCCAUCAAAAUAUGACAGCUUGUGUCGCGAAAGCGGAGCAGGAGGGAGAUUGAGUGGUUGCAUGGUUGCCUUUUUGGAAAAGCCUCGGCAACAAACGCCCCGGCCGAUGAUUCCGUUGAACAAUUUCUCAUCUUGUGAGAUUCAUUGUUGGCCCAGAAGUGUUGUUUUGCCACAUUACAUGCAUUUGUCAUCUAUUUAAGCAGGAGGAGAUGGAGCAAAUACAAUUUAUUAAUCUUUGUUGAUGGAAAUUAAAGCAAAGUCAAGACA